UACAGAGGGAGCAAGCGUUGUUCGGAAUUACUGGGCGUAAAGGGCGCGUAGGUGGUCUUGUAAGUCCCGUGUGAAAUCCCUCGGCUCAACUGAGGAACUGCACGGGAAACUGCUUGGCUUGAGUUCGGGAGAGGGACGUGGAAUUCCGGGUGUAGCGGUGAAAUGCGUAGAUAUCCGGAGGAACACCGGUGGCGAAGGCGGCGUCCUGGACCGACACUGACGCUGAGGCGCGAAAGCUAGGGGAGCAAAC
rnacentral:rRNA from 1 species